rnacentral:rRNA from 1 species
GCGUGGAGACAGGUGGUGCAUGGCUGUCGUCAGCUCGUGUCGUGAGAUGUUGGGUUAAGUCCCGCAACGAGCGCAACCCUCACCCCUGGUUGCCACCGGGUAAAGCCGAGCACUCGAGGGGAACUGCCCCGGUUAACGGGGAGGGAAGGCGGGGAUGACGUCAAGUCAUCAUGCCCCUUACGCCCUGGGCUACACACGUGCUACAAUGGCCGGUACAAAGGGAUGCAAUACCGCGAGGUGGAGCUAAACCCAAAAAGCCGGUCUAAGUUCAGAUUGGAGUCUGCAACUCGACUCCAUGAAGGAGGAAUCGCUAGUAAUCGCGUAUCAGCACGACGCGGUGAAUACGUUCCCGGGCCUUGUACACACCGCCCGUCACACCACGAAAGUCAGCUGUACUCGAAGUCGCUGAG